GCCAGCAGUCAUGUCUCCCCGCAACUUACAAUUAGCAACCCACUGAAGCUAAGCAGGUGUGAACCUGGUCAGUACCUGGAUGGGAGACCUCCUGGGAAAAACUAAGGUUGCUGUUGGAA
rnacentral:rRNA from 1 species